AGUCCAUUUUGUGCUGCUAUCACAGAAUAUCACAGACUGGGCAAUUUAUAAUGAGCAGAGAUUUACUUCCUACAGUACUGGAGGCUAGGAAGUCCAAGAUCAAGGGGCUUUGCUGCAUCAUCCCAUGGUGGAAGGUGGAAAGGCAAAAAGAGUGGAAGAGAGAAAAGGGAGCCAAAUUUGUCCUUUUGUGAGGAACCCACUCCCAUGAUAAUGGCAUUCAUUUACUCUGCCCCAUGGCCUGAUCACCUCUCGGGCUCCACAUCCCAGCACUUGCGUUGGAAGUUAAGUUUCCAAUACAUGCUUUCUGGGAGAAACAUUCAAACCACAGCACAACCCUUGUUUUAGGCCUGUGGCAGCCAUCAUGGCUGGCUGGACUCUCUCAACACCCAAGGCCCUUGGUAGGCUGCUUAGAGAAGAGUUUCCAAAGGAAUGUUCUGUGGCCAGUAGCUGUCUUCCAACUCAUCUGCGGCCACUUCUUUGGCUUCUAAAGCUCCUGGGAAGGGAGUUUGCUCUCAUGCCAGGCUGUGUGGAAUCUUUCUUCACAGAGAGGAGCAAGAGAGUGUUCAGGGGACUCAAAAGAUGACAUUUUCAAAAGGCUCCCUCUGCUUUUGUUAAUAGUGGCAAACACUUGUGUCCUGUUCACCUUGGGCUGGGCACUGUUCUAACUGCUUAACAUUCAUUAACAACCACUCUGUGAGGCAGGUGCUCUAUGAUCAUCCCAUUUUACAGAUGAGGAAGCUGAGGCACAGAGCUGUGAAGUACCUUGGCAAAGGUCCCCAUGAUGGAAGUCUGGGCUUGGCCUCUAUAAAUGUGCUCAUGGCAAAGGCUUCAGGACUUCUCCGUCCACUCCUUCAAGAACCUUGUGAACAUCAGACGCAUUCACACAUACACAAGGAGAAAAAGAGGCAGUUGUCUGGCCUCUCCCUGAUUCUGACUCCUUCUCCAGAGGAUUUAACUCAUUUUUCUACAGAGGAUUUAACUGGAAACUAUCAGGAAAUGGUGUGAGGAGGGGAGCCACAUAUGAAUUUCGGCUUUAUAAAGGGAUAUGGAGAGCACAGCGGUUAGAAGUCAGGCUGGUCAUGAGCUGGUCCUAUCCUUCACUAGCCAUGCAACUUUCUAUGCCUCAGUUUCAACAACUGUAAAAUGGGAGUAGAAGACAGCUCCUGCCUCAUAGGGUUGUCAUGAAGAUUACAUGAGGCAGUGCACGUAAGUGCACAAAAAAAUGUCAAUUGUUGUUUCUCUUGUUAUUAAUAACGACGAGGAAGAGGCGACUGUAGCCGUGGUUCUUAACUAGGAGUAUGUGUCAGAAUCACCUGGGGCACUUUUGCAAAAAUACACUCGCUUGACCCGGCCAGAUAACUGAGUCAGGAUCUAGAUUUUAAGCGCCUCCCCAGGUCAUUCUGUUGCUCAUCUGUGGUUCAGCGCCACCGGGCUGGAGGUGGCCAUGACUGGAAGCAGGGAAGUCAGCAGGCAGCCCCUGCCAGAGAGCAGGUGUGGCAGGAGCAGGCUGCAGGUGGGGCAGGGCUGGUGAGAAGGAGAGCAGGGCUGACUUGAGGCAGACGGGAGAGGUGGCCAAGACGUGACUUUGCACAGGGGAGGGAGGAAGGAGGAGAAGCCCAGGGUGACUCACAGGUGCUGACUUGGAUGAGGGUGGUGGAGCAUGAGCCAGGGUAGGGACUACAGGAAGAGAAGUGGUGGGGGCAGGGCACAGAGAUUGUCACAGUUGCUUUUUGGCUCCUGGUGAGGAUAAGUUAGUAUUUAGAUCUCUAGGUCUAGGUCAGUACUAUGGUUCUGGGAGAUGUUGGUGUGGAGGAGAUGGAUAAAGCCAUGGGCUUGGUCUUUGAGUAAAAUGUAGAGGGCAGAGGAUAGCCAAGUUCACAAGCAUCCUCCUCUGCAAAGGCCUGCAUCCAAUUUUUGUUGUUGUUGUUGUUUUUAAAUAGACUGGGUCUUGCUCUGUCACCCAGGCUAGAGUGCAGUGGUACAAUCAUAGCUCACUGUAGCUUUCAACUUCUGGGCUCAAGCCAUCCUUCUGCCUUAACUUUCCAAAGUGUUGAAACUAUAGGUAUGAGCCCCACACCCAGCUUCUUUGUGUGUCCACUUCUUAUUGUGCCUUACCUAGAAAUAGAGAAGAGCUUGUUUCUCAUGUAAUAACCCCUGCUGAGGACUGUUGGAAAAUAAACUGUCCCCUCAUCUGAAGAUGAAUAAUAACUUUGGAUCAUUUUCUUUCUUCACAGGUCGCACAGUUUUCCACACUCCUUGAUGGAGGUGCUUAAACCCUAUCCAUCAGCAUUCUUGGACAGCAUCUCCGGUUAGGGACAGUAUCUGACCAUCUGACAUCCCUGCACCCCCCAUACUGUCAGCCUCAGGUGGAUGGUUUCCUUAGAUGGUAGCUUUCUUUGGACCCUUGAUAUCAACCAGUUACUAUUUGGUAAGAACUUAAGUCAUUCCAGUGCCUCUCUCAGAAGCAUUUGCAUUUAGAAUUUCAGGUGUCAUAGAAAUAAUGAAAGAUGUUGCAUUCCUGAGGGAAUGAAUAAAUUAUUUAUUUCCUUGUUCUAGAACAUCAUUGCCCACUAGAAUUUUCCAUGAUGAUAGUAAUGUUCUCUGUGCUGUUCCAUGUGUAACUGCUGGCCACGUGUGGCUAUUGAACAUUUGAGAUGUGUCCAGUGUGACUGAAGAACUGGAUUUUUUUAUUUUAAUGAAUUAAAAUUGAUUUUUUUUUUGAGACAAGGUCUUACUCUGUCAUCCACACUGGAGUGCAGCGCUGUGAUCAUGGCUUAUUGCAACUUUGACCUCCUGGGCUCACGUAAUUCUCCCACCUCAGCCUCCCAAGUAGCUGGGACCACAGGUAUGUGCCACAACACCUAGCUAAUUGUUUUGUUUUGUUUUGUUUUGUUUGAGAGACGAGGGUCUCCCUGUAUUGCCCAGGCUGAUCUCAAACUCCUGGGCUCAAGCGAUCCUUCCUUGGCAUCCCAAAGUGCUGGGAUUACAGGGGUGAACCUCCACAUCCCACCUUAAAAUUGUAAUUUAAACUGAAAAAUGGAAAGCAGGCACUAUGAAGUUAUAUUCUCUGGGUCGGUGAGAGCUAGGGAUGUUAGGCCUGAUACCCCACCUGACUGCUCCACUACCAAGUGCUCCCCAAACGGAUUUGGAAUAAAGGAGGAGGAGGCCUUGGUUCUUAACUAAGGAUGAUUCUAACCAUCUACAAAAGCAGGCAUCAAGUAGAAGAUUGCUUGGCUGUUUCCAUAUUGAAACCAAAUGAGCUUUCUUUCUCCCCUCCAACCCUGGCCUCAGCCUUCAUUCUGCCUGCAUGAGGAGGUGGUGUCUAGUACUGCUCCUCCCAGGCCUCUCCAGGCUUCCUUCUUCCGGCUCUUCCCACCUUGGGACCAUCGUUCCUGCCCUCCCUUCUGCCCUGCGUCCCUCUCCCUGCUCCCACCACAGCAAGCCCCACCUCCUCCAAGAAGGCUUCCCAGACUCCUCUGUUCCUUCCAGGUGAGGCUAGUUCUAGGGCCCUGAACAAAUUCCAUUUGGCUUCCCAGCUGGGGGUGAGGUGGCAGGGAUGGGUCUCAGGAAGAUCAGCUGCAGGACGGAUGUGCAUGUAACCACUGUGUUUCUGACUUCUUUGACCACUGCUCAUGGUGAGAAAGAUAUCUCCUGUCCCAAUCAGGACACACCUCGAUGUAUGGAUACGUAACACUGAAGCAAAAGUUUUUUGUUUUUUUUUUUUUGAGAUGGAGUCUCACUCUGUCACCCAGGCUGGAGUGCAGUGGCACAAUCUCGGCUUACUGCAAGCUCUGCCUCCCGGUUCACACCAUGCUCCUGCCUCAGCCUCCCGAGUAGCUGGGACUACAGGCGCCCACCACCACACCUGGCUAAUUUUUUUUUUUUUGUAUUUUUAGUAGAGACGGGGUUUCACCGUGUUAGCCAGGAUGGUCUCGAUCUCCUGACCUCGUGAUGCACCCGCCUCGGCCUCCAAAAGUGCUGGGAUUACAGGUGUGAGCCACUGUGCCCCGCUGCAAAAGUUUUGUCAAAAUAAUAUUCACCCUGACUACAUGUGAUGCACUUGGAUAUUCUGUUUAUUUUAUUUAUUAAUUAUUUAUUUAUUUAUUUAUUUAUUUA
ensembl:lincRNA